GUUACGCAAGAUCAAAGCCUCCUCGCGGCGCGUAGCGGGCAACGAAUUUUCAUUCGGCUGAUUUGAUCGA
rnacentral:ribozyme from 1 species